UACGGAGGGUGCGAACGUUGCUCGGAAUUACUGGGCGUAAAGCGCGUGUAGGCGGAUUGAGAAGUCCGGUGUGAAAGCCCUCGGCUUAACCGAGGAAGUGCGCCGGAAACCAUCAAUCUUGAGGGCUGUAGGGGAACGUGGAAUUCCGUGUGUAGAGGUGAAAUUCGUAGAUAUACGGAGGAACACCAGUGGCGAAGGCGACGUUCUGGACAGGCCCUGACGCUCAGACGCGACAGCGUGGGUAGCAAACAGG
rnacentral:misc_RNA from 1 species